UACCGGCGCCUCAAGUGGUAGUCGAUUUUAUUGGGCCUAAAACGUCCGUAGCCUGUUCUAUAAGUUUCCGGUUAAAUCCAUACGCUCAACGUAUGGGCUGCCGGAAAUACUGCAGAACUAGGGAGUGGGAGAGGUAGACGGUACUCGAUAGGAAGAGGUAAAAUUCUUUGAUCUAUUGAUGACCACCUGUGGCGAAGGCGGUCUACCAGAACACGUUCGACGGUGAGGGAUGAAAGCUGGGGGAGCAAACCGG
rnacentral:rRNA from 1 species